UUCUAAACAAUAAUGUGAUAAUUUCCAAGCACAUAUCUGAUGAUUCCAUGUGGAAUUUAGGUACUGAGUCUUCUGGGA
rnacentral:snoRNA from 1 species